rnacentral:rRNA from 1 species
GACGGAAGGUGCAAGCGUUGCUCGGAAUCACUGGGCGUAAAGGGUGCGUAGGCGGCCUGGUAAGUCUGGCGUGAAAGCCCAGGGCUCAGCCCUGGAAGUGCGCUAGAAACUGCGAGGCUCGAGUGCCGGAGGGGAGAGUGGAAUUCCUGGUGUAGCGGUGAAAUGCGCAGAUAUCAGGAGGAACACCGAUGGCGAAGGCAGGUCUCUGGGCCACUACUGACGCUGAGAAGCGAAAGCAUGGGGAGCGAACAGG